rnacentral:rRNA from 1 species
CCUACGGGUGGCAGCAGUGAGGAAUAUUGGUCAAUGGACGCAAGUCUGAACCAGCCAUGCCGCGUGCAGGAAGACGGCUCUGUGAGUUGUAAACUGCUUUUGUACGAGGGUAAACGCAGAUACGCGUAUCUGUCUGAAAGUAUCUUACGAAUAAGCAUCGGCUAACUCCGUGCCAGCAGCCGCGGUAAUACGGAGGAUUCAAGCGUUAUCCGGAUUUAUUGGGGUUAAAGGGUGCGCAGGCGGUCGGAUAAGUUAGCGGUGAAAUCCCGAGGCUCAACUUCGGAAUUGCCUGUGAUACUGUUAGGCUAGAGAGUAGUUGCGGUAGGCGGAAUGUGUGGUGUAGCGGUGAAAUGCUUAGAGAUCAUACAGAACGCCGAUUGCGAAGGCAGCUUACCAAGCUACGUCUGACGUUGAGGCACGAAAGCGUGGGGAGCAAACAGGAUUAGAUACCCGAGUAGUC